UACAUGGGGUGCAAACGUUGCUCGGAAUUAUUGGGCGUAAAGCGCGCGUAGGCGGUUACUUAAGUCGGAUGUGAAAGCCCUCGGCUUAACUGAGGAAGUGCACCCGAAACUGAGUAGCUGGAGUACGAAAGAGGGUCGCGGAAUUCCCGGUGUAGAGGUGAAAUUCGUAGAUAUCGGGAGGAACACCGGUGGCGAAGGCGGCGACCUGGGUCGAGACUGACGGCUGAGGCGCGAAAGCUAGGGGAGCAAACGGG
rnacentral:rRNA from 1 species